UCCCAGCGGCUCAAGUGGCACUCACAUUUAUUGGGUCUAAAACAUUCGUAGCCGGCUUUUAAAGUUUUGUGUUAAAUUGCAAGGCUCAACCUUGCAGCUGCAUAAAAUACUUAAUGGCUAGGGACUGGGAGACGUAGCGAGUACGGCUGGGGUAAUGGUAAAAUAUGUUAAUCCUCGCUGGACUAACGAUGGCGAAGGCACGCUACGAGAACAGCUCCGACGGUGAGGAAUGAAGGCCAGGGGCG
rnacentral:rRNA from 1 species